rnacentral:rRNA from 1 species
AAUGGGUCAGCGACUUAUAUUCUGUAGCAAGGUUAACCGAAUAGGGGAGCCGAAGGGAAACCGAGUCUUAACUGGGCGUUAAGUUGCAGGGUAUAGACCCGAAACCCGGUGAUCUAGCCAUGGGCAGGUUGAAGGUUGGGUAACACUAACUGGAGGACCGAACCGACUAAUGUUGAAAAAUUAGCGGAUGACUUGUGGCUGGGGGUGAAAGGCCAAUCAAACCGGGAGAUAGCUGGUUCUCCCCGAAAGCUAUUUAGGUAGCGCCUCGUGAAUUCAUCUCCGGGGGUAGAGCACUGUUUCGGCAAGGGGGUCAUCCCGACUUACCAACCCGAUGCAAACUGCGAAUACCGGAGAAUGUUAUCACGGGAGACACACGGCGGGUGCUAACGUCCGUCGUGAAGAGGGAAACAACCCAGACCGCCAGCUAAGGUCCCAAAGUCAUGGUUAAGUGGGAAACGAUGUGGGAAGGCCCAGACAGCCAGGAUGUUGGCUUAGAAGCAGCCAUCAUUUAAAGAAAGCGUAAUAGCUCACUGGUCGAGUCGGCCUGCGCGGAAGAUGUAACGGGGCUAAACCAUGCACCGAAGCUGCGGCAGCGACGCUUAUGCGUUGUUGGGUAGGGGAGCGUUCUGUAAGCCUGUGAAGGUGUGCUGUGAGGCAUGCUGGAGGUAUCAGAAGUGCGAAUGCUGACAUAAGUAACGAUAAAGCGGGUGAAAAGCCCGCUCGCCGGAAGACCAAGGGUUCCUGUCCAACGUUAAUCGGGGCAGGGUGAGUCGACCCCUAAGGCGAGGCCGAAAGGCGUAGUCGAUGGGAAACAGGUUAAUAUUCCUGUACUUGGUGUUACUGCGAAGGGGGGACGGAGAAGGCUAUGUUGGCCGGGCGACGGUUGUCCCGGUUUAAGCGUGUAGGCUGGUUUUCCAGGCAAAUCCGGAAAAUCAAGGCUGAGGCGUGAUGACGAGGCACUACGGUGCUGAAGCAACAAAUGCCCUGCUUCCAGGAAAAGCCUCUAAGCAUCAGGUAACAUCAAAUCGUACCCCAAACCGACACAGGUGGUCAGGUAGAGAAUACCAAGGCGCUUGAGAGAACUCGGGUGAAGGAACUAGGCAAAAUGGUGCCGUAACUUCGGGAGAAGGCACGCUGAUAUGUAGGUGAAGUCCCUCGCGGAUGGAGCUGAAAUCAGUCGAAGAUACCAGCUGGCUGCAACUGUUUAUUAAAAACACAGCACUGUGCAAACACGAAAGUGGACGUAUACGGUGUGACGCCUGCCCGGUGCCGGAAGGUUAAUUGAUGGGGUCAGCGCAAGCGAAGCUCUUGAUCGAAGCCCCGGUAAACGGCGGCCGUAACUAUAACGGUCCUAAGGUAGCGAAAUUCCUUGUCGGGUAAGUUCCGACCUGCACGAAUGGCGUAAUGAUGGCCAGGCUGUCUCCACCCGAGACUCAGUGAAAUUGAACUCGCUGUGAAGAUGCAGUGUACCCGCGGCAAGACGGAAAGACCCCGUGAACCUUUACUAUAGCUUGACACUGAACAUUGAGCCUUGAUGUGUAGGAUAGGUGGGAGGCUUAGAAGUGUGGACGCCAGUCUGCAUGGAGCCGACCUUGAAAUACCACCCUUUAAUGUUUGAUGUUCUAACGUUGACCCGUAAUCCGGGUUGCGGACAGUGUCUGGUGGGUAGUUUGACUGGGGCGGUCUCCUCCUAAAGAGUAACGGAGGAGCACGAAGGUUGGCUAAUCCUGGUCGGACAUCAGGAGGUUAGUGCAAUGGCAUAAGCCAGCUUGACUGCGAGCGUGACGGCGCGAGCAGGUGCGAAAGCAGGUCAUAGUGAUCCGGUGGUUCUGAAUGGAAGGGCCAUCGCUCAACGGAUAAAAGGUACUCCGGGGAUAACAGGCUGAUACCGCCCAAGAGUUCAUAUCGACGGCGGUGUUUGGCACCUCGAUGUCGGCUCAUCACAUCCUGGGGCUGAAGUAGGUCCCAAGGGUAUGGCUGUUCGCCAUUUAAAGUGGUACGCGAGCUGGGUUUAGAACGUCGUGAGACAGUUCGGUCCCUAUCUGCCGUGGGCGCUGGAGAACUGAGGGGGGCUGCUCCUAGUACGAGAGGACCGGAGUGGACGCAUCACUGGUGUUCGGGUUGUCAUGCCAAUGGCACUGCCCGGUAGCUAAAUGCGGAAGAGAUAAGUGCUGAAAGCAUCUAAGCACGAAACUUGCCCCGAGAUGAGUUCUCCCUGACUCCUUGAGAGUCCUGAAGGAACGUUGAAGACGACGACGUUGAUAGGCCGGGUGUGUAAGCGCAGCGAUGCGUUGAGCUAACCGGUACUAAUGAACCGUGAGG